GAACAGGAGGGCUAUAAAAACUGAAGGUGCUCGUUCAGAGUUUGUUGCUGGAGGACAAGAGAGGAGUGCUUAGAACUAAAGGAAGGAGAAGACUGAAGUAAGGGCUCCUUACAGCUUCCUCUGUCUAGUUCUGGCAUCCAGGACCUCAGCUGGCUAUGAGCCUUCUUCUGCUGGUUUCACUGGGGCUGGCUUGUGCUAGCUCAUGACACUGCUGGAUGCCUCUGGUUACCUGGGAACUCAAAGCUCUUCACAGCCCCAGUGUCAUGAGGCAAGUUCUGCAGCUUCACUGCUCUGCAUGGGAAGUCUGACAGGGACUGAAAAACAGCUUGGAAGGGCUGAAAGUGCAGUGGGAAAAUUCUGCCCAGCAAUGCCUGCUCUGACCUUCAGUCACCUCCUCACCUUCAGACAUACUGGAGGCCUAAGCAGAAAGGAAAGCAAGCCUUUAACCUAAUUACCCAAUUAUCUUGAGGCCAAUACCUGGCUGCCACAGAGCUUGGUUCCAGUAUCUGCUGCCACUUAGAAGGAAACUGGCUGGAGAUCCUUCCUGUGUAAGGUCCUUGUUGCUCUGGAAUAUCCUUCAAGAUGUUACAAAAACAUACACAGACACAACAUAUACAAAACAGAUAUAUGAUGUCCAGGACAUCUCUGCAGGCCAAAGGACACACUGUGAGGUACCAGUGUACAGGAAAGGACUUGAGAUGAGCUAGCAAAGUACUGUAAUGUUUUCACUGUAACCUGGGCCCCCAUGCUGUGUGGGUGGGAUUAGGACCUGCCUCUUGGGAAUGGUUGUUGCUGCAGAACAUCCCAGUGAUGAGAUGUUGUAGAUAUGGCCUGCUUACAAACCAGCUGGUGAGGCUGAACAAUUAUAAAGGAGCCAUCACACAAGUCUGUUGUCCCAUGCCAGGCUCGCCCUGAAUCACAGCUAUACCUUUUCAGUUUGAUCUUCUCUAGAGCUGGGAUACAUUAGCAUAACCAUUCUUGCAUCUUCUAACAUUCGAAUUUCCAUCUUAGCCUCCUGCAGCCUUGAUCCAAAAGCUUUUCAUAUUUAUACCAGAAAUCAAGGUUUUUAUGUAAGCAGCAGUGAGGGAUUUGGUUUGCAUAUAUAAAUAUACAAUAGUCUCACUACUCUGGCUGCUAGUGCAAAGUGAAUCCAUGACAUGGGUUGUGUUCUCUUAGCUAAAGGCAAAGGCAUAAGUUAACUGACAAUGAAUUAUCCUAUUGUAGAGCCUUCAGGAUGGGGAUUAUCAGUGCUAACACACUGUCUUAUCCUGCAUGCAGUACACAGAGCUGACUUCUUUGGGAGAUUUGGAACACAGGCAAAUGAUAAUGUGGAAAUUCAUUAGGCAGCACCUCAAAGCCCCAAGUGUGUGUGUGUAGUAUCUCAUCCAUUUCAAUGGGAAUCUUGCCUGCAGGAGAAGUAAACUCAUGCAAAUGCUGUUAGAUCAUUUUAAUAGACCAAAAAUCUAAGGGGAUUCAAGGAGUGGCAAGCAUCCCCCUUAAAGACAUCUCACAGCAUAGUAUGUACUUUGGAAUCCAACCCAGAGUAAAUUAAUGUUGGCCUAUCCAGUGACAAGAGUAGCAAGACUGUGAUUUAAAAAAAGGGGACAGAAUAGGGACAAAACUGUAGUUUCAUGUGACAAAGCAAAUCUCUUCACCAGACAUUAGGAUUAAAGUCUGUUAAGAAUUGAAAUAUGUCACCAUCCUGGAGUUUGCGUACCAAAAUUAAUCCUAUUUAGUACAUUAGAUCUUUAUCUAAACCUCUUUGUCCAGAGGAUGAGAGACCUUACCCUGAGAGAAGGAUUUCCAAAUGCCUUCAGUUGCCCUAUCAGUGCUUGUUAUUUGAACAUGGAAGAAAGAAAUCCCCCAAUUUUACAAAUCAAACACUUCUAGGCAUAAGCUGUUCUUGAGGGCUGUCUGUAGGCAAGCUGCUGAAGAAUUAGGGCAAUAAAUCACUGUGCUGCUUUUCCUUACUCCCUCUGUUAGAACCCUGCUUUCAGUGCUCAGAAGGGAUUUCCAGACUACUCUCUUCAACUAGGCAACCCUUCUUAACAUAACAAGUGUUAUGUUAACACAUUAUUAGUGUUGUCUAGCUUACCUUUGCUUUGUUAACACAUUAUUAGUGUUGUCUAGCUUACCUGUGCUCACUUUGAGGCCUGAUCUGACUAAAGGACUGUGAAGAUCUUCAGUGAAUGAAAUCAGGGGUUGUGGCUGAA